rnacentral:rRNA from 1 species
AGAGUUUGAUCCUGGCUCAGAACGAACGCUGGCGGCGUGGAUAAGACAUGCAAGUCGAACGAGAGAAUUGCUAGCUUGCUAAUAAUUCUCUAGUGGCGCACGGGUGAGUAACACGUGAGUAACCUGCCCCCGAGAGCGGGAUAGCCCUGGGAAACUGGGAUUAAUACCGCAUAGUAUCGAAAGAUUAAAGCAGCAAUGCGCUUGGGGAUGGGCUCGCGGCCUAUUAGUUAGUUGGUGAGGUAACGGCUCACCAAGGCGAUGACGGGUAGCCAGUCUGAGAGGAUGUCCGGCCACACUGGAACUGAGACACGGUCCAGACACCUACGGGUGGCAGCAGUCGAGAAUCAUUCACAAUGGGGGAAACCCUGAUGGUGCGACGCCGCGUGGGGGAAUGAAGGUCUUCGGAUUGUAAACCCCUGUCAUGUGGGAGCAAAUUAAAAAGAUAGUACCACAAGAGGAAGAGACGGCUAACUCUGUGCCAGCAGCCGCGGUAAUACAGAGGUCUCAAGCGUUGUUCGGAAUCACUGGGCGUAAAGCGUGCGUAGGCUGUUUCGUAAGUCGUGUGUGAAAGGCGCGGGCUCAACCCGCGGACGGCACAUGAUACUGCGAGACUAGAGUAAUGGAGGGGGAACCGGAAUUCUCGGUGUAGCAGUGAAAUGCGUAGAUAUCGAGAGGAACACUCGUGGCGAAGGCGGGUUCCUGGACAUUAACUGACGCUGAGGCACGAAGGCCAGGGGAGCGAAAGGGAUUAGAUACCCCUGUAGUCCUGGCAGUAAACGGUGCACGCUUGGUGUGCGGGGAAUCGACCCCCUGCGUGCCGGAGCUAACGCGUUAAGCGUGCCGCCUGGGGAGUACGGUCGCAAGAUUAAAACUCAAAGGAAUUGACGGGGACCCGCACAAGCGGUGGAGUAUGUGGCUUAAUUCGAUGCAACGCGAAGAACCUUACCUGGGCUUGACAUGUAAUGAACAACAUGUGAAAGCAUGCGACUCUUCGGAGGCGUUACACAGGUGCUGCAUGGCCGUCGCCAGCUCGUGUCGUGAGAUGUUUGGUUAAGUCCAGCAACGAGCGCAACCCCUGUUGCCAGUUACCAGCACGUGAAGGUGGGGACUCUGGCGAGACUGCCCAGAUCAACUGGGAGGAAGGUGGGGACGACGUCAGGUCAGUAUGGCCCUUAUGCCCAGGGCUGCACACGUACUACAAUGCCCAGUACAGAGGGGGCCGAAGCCGCGAGGCGGAGGAAAUCCUAAAAACUGGGCCCAGUUCGGACUGUAGGCUGCAACCCGCCUACACGAAGCCGGAAUCGCUAGUAAUGGCGCAUCAGCUACGGCGCCGUGAAUACGUUCCCGGGUCUUGCACUCACCAAGCGUCA